CUGCAGGGGCUCUGGAUAAACCUCAUGGCAAGAUGAGCUGACCCCUGAGGCUCAGACUUUGGCAGAAGGAGCUUUAGUCCAGUGUAACCUGGAGCAUCCCCCGCACCAUGGGUUUGGGGUGUAGGUACAGCCUGUGAUUGCCUGCAGCAGCCUCUUUUGUCCUGGGGUAGAGGCAGAAAGAGGUUUAUAGACCAGUACCCAGGAGCUGGGUCUGCCACCUUGAUGACUCUAGGAGGCUCCAGGGCAGGAAGAGGAACACCUUGCUGGGAAUAAAGAAAGGCAGAGGGUGAAUUUACUGCAGCCAAAGUGUAAGAGAGAAGUGACUGAAGUCAGAGACAGCUGAAGAGAAAUAACAAAAAUCAAUUUUUUAAUGGAUUUACUUGUGCUUCACACUGGUUCCAAGCAGCUUGGAGUGAUCCAGGAAACAAGAUUCUCUCUUUCUCCGCUGCGAGUGACCCUUCUGUUCUUGGAAACACUGAAGUUCAGCUGAAACACUUCAGGAACCUCACGCAUUUCAGGCCAUGGGUACUCAGGUGUGAAUGUGCACUGCUUCUGCUGCUUCGUGGAUUAAAAAGAGGCUGAACAAUUGCAAUUUCAGUUGACAGUGGACAUGAUGGACAAGCUCCCACGGCAGAGCGCCAGCACUGACAGGUAAAUAGCACCCCUUCCCUCACCAGGGUGGCAAUGGGUGUUUUGGGGUUAAAUACCCUCACAGAGGAAAAGGAGAUUCAGCAUUUCCC
rnacentral:lncRNA from 14 species